rnacentral:rRNA from 1 species
AUUGAACGCUGGCGGCAGGCUUAACACAUGCAAGUCGAGCGGGGGGAGGUAGCUUGCUACCUAACCUAGCGGCGGACGGGUGAGUAAUGCUUAGGAAUCUGCCUAUUAGUGGGGGACAACAUUUCGAAAGGGAUGCUAAUACCGCAUACGCCCUAAGGGGGAAAGCAGGGGAUCUUCGGACCUUGCGCUAAUAGAUGAGCCUAAGUCGGAUUAGCUAGUUGGUGGGGUAAAGGCCUACCAAGGCGACGAUCUGUAGCGGGUCUGAGAGGAUGAUCCGCCACACUGGGACUGAGACACGGCCCAGAAUCCGACGGGAGGCAGCAGUGGGGAAUAUUGGACAAUGGGGGGAACCCUGAUCCAGCCAUGCCGCGUGUGUGAAGAAGGCCUUUUGGUUGUAAAGCACUUUAAGCGAGGAGGAGGCUACCGAGAUUAAUACUCUUGGAUAGUGGACGUUACUCGCAGAAUAAGCACCGGCUAACUCUGUGCCAGCCGCCGCCGUAACAC